CUCAAUUGGAAAGAGGAGUGGCGGACGGGUGAGUAACACGUGGGUAACCUACCCAUCAGAGGGGGAUAACACUUGGAAACAGGUGCUAAUACCGCAUAACAGUUUAUGCCGCAUGGCAUAAGAGUGAAAGGCGCUUUCGGGUGUCGCUGAUGGAUGGACCCGCGGUGCAUUAGCUAGUUGGUGAGGUAACGGCUCACCAAGGCCACGAUGCAUAGCCGACCUGAGAGGGUGAUCGGCCACACUGGGACUGAGACACGGCCCAGACUCCUACGGGAGGCAGCAGUAGGGAAUCUUCGGCAAUGGACGAAAGUCUGACCGAGCAACGCCGCGUGAGUGAAGAAGGUUUUCGGAUCGUAAAACUCUGUUGUUAGAGAAGAAUAAGGACGUUAGUAACUGAACGUCCCCUGACGGUAUCUAACCAGAAAGCCACGGCUAACUACGUGCCAGCAGCCGCGGUAAUACGUAGGUGGCAAGCGUUGUCCGGAUUUAUUGGGCGUAAAGCGAGCGCAGGCGGUUUCUUAAGUCUGAUGUGAAAGCCCCCGGCUCAACCGGGGAGGGUCAUUGGAAACUGGGAGACUUGAGUGCAGAAGAGGAGAGUGGAAUUCCAUGUGUAGCGGUGAAAUGCGUAGAUAUAUGGAGGAACACCAGUGGCGAAGGCGGCUCUCUGGUCUGUAACUGACGCUGAGGCUCGAAAGCGUGGGGAGCAAACAGGAUUAGAUACC
rnacentral:rRNA from 1 species